UGGCCACAUUUUCUGUUUUUCGUAACAGAUCUUAUUUUUUAUUGAGGAGAGUCAAUUUGGGCUUUCCAUUUUAGAAAAUAAAACAAUGACAAUAUUACAAAUAAUGAAAUUGUUACAUCAUUCACAGGGUUACAGUCGAUAUACAUUUAUACAGAAAUACAGGAUCUCCCACAUCAGUCACAGUGGUCUGAACCGGCACUGGUCUAUUAUGUGGGCAUUAACAGAUCAGUGGAACAGGGAUAUCCCCCUGACUGCAAUAAUCAGGAGCCAGAGUGGUAUUUGGUGGAGGGGCUAGAUGUUGGGGGCAGGUGGGAGCAACUGAGGGGAACACACAGUCACACAGGAGAGCACAUGUGCCAGGACGCUGUAAUGGUACAAAUGUUUGUUCAACAGGGAAAAAUACACAGGCUUACUCUUAGCAGCAGCCAGUAUUUGUCCAUCAGCAGCUUGCUCAAGUCUCCAAAACACUGGAGAUUUGCCUGCUGCAGAAUUCACAAACUAAAUGGGCUUGAAAAUGUCAGUCUAAGAACAUUUGAAACACGUCAGUAGAGGGCGCCAUGCUGCUUCCCGCUGCAGCUGUUAAACUACACAACAUGACGCUGACUUCUUAAUAACAUGGAUCGGCUCGAUGUUUAUCAUGUAACUGUAACACUCAGACUUUACCCUUUUCCUCCGUCCUUUAAAAAAUGGCACACUGUAAAGGGAAGGCUGAGUAGUUCUGCUUUGCAUCGCAGAUAUAAAGAUUAAACACAUUGUCUUGCUACAAAAAAUGUAGUUCGAAAAUGUGGAAAGCGAUCAUUGAUGUCACAGCCAAAAAGCAUUAAAAAAAAACAAAACAGUAAAAACGUUUUGAAUGAGUGCAGCAGGAGAUUAUGUAUGCAAAUUAAACAAUGUGCACAAUUAUCUUUUUUAAAUAUAUAUAUAUUUACAAAUAACCAACUGUCUGAGUAAUCAUAAAAUAAUAAAAAUAUCCAACUACAUCUCUUAAUUUUGAUAUCCAUUGCCAUUUGAGGGAAUAAUGUUGCUUACAUCAAAAAUUCUGUCUCAUUUCAGAGGAAAUAAAAAAUGAUUACAGUGAAAAUUCCUUCAGAAAUAUUCUUGCUAUAAAUGUGUCACAGAUGAAUCAGAAGCCUCAUUUUUUAUACAUUUUAACAAUCCGUAUUCAGUUGCUUAAAUUAAACAUAAGGGACCCACUGUUCAAUGUGCUCCCUAAACUGCAAUAAUGUAGAGUUGCAAGAAUUAGAUUACUUUUUAAAAUUUUAUAACGCAAAUUAAUUUCUUCUAAUUUCAUAAUGCAAAUCUGAAAUUUCAAAUGCAAAACCAGCAAAAAAACCUGCCUUGCAAAAAAAAAGAAUAGACAGUAAGCAGAAGGGAUUACCCACACCCUCUUUAAGGUUGUUCCUUAAAGGAAAUGUCAGGAAUAAUUGCUUGAUUAAUAACUCAAAGUCUUGGCAGCAUCCACAGACAAGCCUCUGAAUGAGCUAUAAUGGGGCUGGAGUAAAGAAAUACUGUACCUUGCCAGCCUUUCGCAUACUGCAAAUUAAUUUCUUGCACAUUAAGUGCUUUUCCUGAUGACGGAAUAUUUCCCGUACUGUGAGAAUACAUGCUACAUUUUAAAACAAAACUGAUGAGUUGGUACAUGCUGCAAAAUAAAAAAUAGAAGUGGGAAAAGGUCAGAAAAAACACUACGUUUUGGUGGCAUCUAGGUCACAGUACUGCCUCUCACUUUGCUUCCCCGUUUUCUGUGGCUCACGAUUCUCCCCCUCUACUUUUACAAAGCGUUUUAUGAAAAAAUCCAGGGCAAACCCUAUUUGCUAUUAUGUAUCCUGCUGCAGAGGCAAAGAAAAAAAAAUCAAUCCCUCUCUGCUUUAAAGUCGGUGGACAGCUGGGGGUAAAGUAAGAUAGGAUGACAGUGGUGGAGUAACUGAGGUUUCUCUCUUUUUUUUUCAAAGAGAGUGUUUAGUGCCAAAGCUGCCUGUAGUGGGAACAUGAAAACUCAGGUCAGCGUCUGAAGGUUUGGUUCAAGUAAACAUGAGAAGCAUUGUCCAGCCUGGAGGAAUCUCAGUGGCACAUACCAUUAGGACAAGACAAGACACAACUGCUACGCUGUUGAAUGUUAAUAUGCCUGCUGCCGCUGAUGCGUUUUAAACACGCCAAGACUGAACCAGACAACUGGCCAAAGCCGACUAAGAGUAGAUCAGAGGGAGCCGUUUGACAGGUGGUCGACAGGCAUGUGUGUUAUCAGGAGGACAGAAAGAAGAAAUCGGUGCCUGGGCAGAGAAGCUGUGAUCGGGGUGCAGCCGCCCCACUGUGACCAGACACAUCUGACCGAUGGCUCACAGCUGGACACCCAUGUCUGUCUGUCAGCUCUCAGGGCAGAGCCUGGCAGGAGCUCGGCACUACUGCUUAUCAUUUAUUGGUUGUGUGCAUAAACCCAUGUCUGAUUUACCAUCUCUGAAGAGUCACGGGGUUUCCUUGAACUCCAUCUCCCCCUUUACAAAACUUACAACAGGUUAACAGCAACAACACAAACCAGGACUGGCAGUUCUGUAUUCAUGUAAUAAUUAGUCCUCAUAAAAUAAUAUACAGUGAAUGCAUACAUGUGAAGAACAGAAGCUUUUACAAGGUAAAGCUUUAUCUACAUGGUUUUGUGCAUGAUUUGUCCUUCAAAAAUAAAUGGAAAGCAAUGGAGGAAAUUCCCGAGAGUUGCUAACAAAAAAUAAACUCAAACUCAUGGGAACAAUAGAAAUUCAAAAAUAGUCAUACCAGAAUUGCAACAAUGUAGCACACAUUUUAGUUUUUAUUCAACAAAUGUAUGACUGUGACAUGACUGUGAAUGUAAAACAACUGUGUGGUAUCAAAACUUUAAUCAUUGAAGCAUAAACAUACUUUUUUUUUAAACAGGAAAACUGGAAGAAUACUGAAUAUAGUACUAGACUAAUCGCUGCAAAUCAAAGCACUGUGAAAUUAACCACUCACUCAGCAUGCUAUCAAACACAAGAUUCGACACUGUUAGAAGCUACCUUUGUCUUUGUGUGUGUGACAUGUGAGUGCAACAUGUGCAAGUACGCACAGACGGCACUUCAGAUAAACACCCUGAUGGAGGAUGCUGUAACUGGAUUAUUUUGUCUUUAUGUAGAGUCUGAUGUAAACA